GGUCUGGGGAGGCAUGAAAAGGCCCUGAGGAAAACAAACUCCAGCUGAGAAGCCUGAGAGCACUUGGCCUUCAUAAGUGUCCCCACCAUGGCCUGGAUGAUGCUUCUCCUUGGACUCCUUGCUUAUGGCUCAGGAGUGGAUUCUGAGACUGUGGUGACCCAGGAGCCAUCGUUGUCAGUGUCCUCUGGAGGAACAGUCACACUCACCUGUGGCCUGAGCUCUGGCUCAGUCUCUACCAGUAACUACCCCAGCUGGUACCAGCAGACCCCAGGCCAGGCUCCGCGCACGCUCAUCUACAGCACAAACACUCGCCCUUCCGGGGUCCCUGAUCGCUUCUCUGGCUCCAUCCUUGGGAACAAAGCUGCCCUCACCAUCACGGGGGCUCAGGCAGACGAUGAAUCUGAUUAUUACUGUACGCUCUACAUGGGUAGUGGCAUUUCCACGGCGAUUUAAAUCUAUGAGGAAGUGCAACCAAAACCUCUUUAUAU